CCCGCUGAACUUAAGCAUAUCAAUAAGCGGAGGAAAAGAAACCAACAGGGAUUGCCCCAGUAACGGCGAGUGAAGCGGCAACAGCUCAAAUUUGAAAUCUGGCCCCCAGGGUCCGAGUUGUAAUUUGCAGAGGAUGAUUUUGGCGAGGUGCCUUCCGAGUUCCCUGGAACGGGACGCCACAGAGGGUGAGAGCCCCGUCUGGUUGGACGCCGAGCCUAUGUAAAUCUCCUUCGACGAGUCGAGUAGUUUGGGAAUGCUGCUCUAAAUGGGAGGUAUAUGUCUUCUAAAGCUAAAUAUUGGCCAGAGACCGAUAGCGCACAAGUAGAGUGAUCGAAAGAUGAAAAGCACUUUGAAAAGAGGGUUAAAUAGUACGUGAAAUUGUUGAAAGGGAAGCGCUCAUGACCAGACUUGGGCCCGGUGAAUCAUCCAGCGUUCUCGCUGGUGCACUUUGCCGGGCUCAGGCCAGCAUCAGUUUGCCCCGGGGGAUAAAGGCUUUGGGAAUGUGGCUCCUCCGGGAGUGUUAUAGCCCAUUGCAUAAUAUCCUGGGGCGGACUGAGGUUCGCGCAUCUGCAAGGAUGCUGGCGUAAUGGUCAUCAGCGACCCGUCUUGAAACACGG
rnacentral:rRNA from 1 species